rnacentral:rRNA from 1 species
AGCGAACGCUGGCGGCAGGCCUAACACAUGCAAGUCGAACGAACUCUUCGGAGUUAGUGGCGGACGGGUGAGUAACACGUGGGAACGUGCCUUUUGGUUCGGAAUAACUCAGGGAAACUUGUGCUAAUACCGAAUGUGCCCUUCGGGGGAAAGAUUUAUCGCCAUUAGAGCGGCCCGCGUCUGAUUAGCUAGUUGGUGAGGUAACGGCUCACCAAGGCGACGAUCAGUAGCUGGUCUGAGAGGAUGACCAGCCACACUGGGACUGAGACACGGCCCAGACUCCUACGGGAGGCAGCAGUGGGGAAUCUUGCGCAAUGGGCGAAAGCCUGACGCAGCCAUGCCGCGUGAAUGAUGAAGGUCUUAGGAUUGUAAAAUUCUUUCACCGGGGACGAUAAUGACGGUACCCGGAGAAGAAGCCCCGGCUAACGUCG